rnacentral:piRNA from 1 species
UCCAAGCAUAGAUGUGCUGCUUUCUCCUUC